UAUUAGAAAAUGAGAUCAUUUUCAUGUUCAAGUUUUAAAAUUGUUUUCUUCACAAAGAAUUAUGGAUAUUGACUUAUCGGACGGUAUUGAUAAAGAGCCUUAUAAUUGAUACAGGGACGAGUGAGAAGACGUGAUAUUCUCCACUGAAAGCUAUCCCUCGAGUGGUCUUUUAGAUGACAAUAGCUCUUCAGAUAGGCUUGCCGGGCUUUUAGAUCGGAUUGGAAGUAUCUGUACAGGAUGAUAAAUUCCAACAUGAAUUCCUUUAGAGAAUUCAUCGUACUUGUUAAUAUCUUCGGGAGAAAGUCUAUUUUCUUGCAAGUACAGCAAAUCACCAAGGUCGUCAUCAUUAAUGUGUUUGUCUUCUUACGUCAUAUGUCACACUAACCUCAAGAUUCACUAACAUAGCUUCGACUUUCGCUAUAUUAUUAUAAGGGGCUGUACAUAAAUGAUGUACAGUACACACUGGAAGGGGGAGGAAGUUAUAGCAAGUCAGAUAAGAGGAAGGAAAGGGUUUGUCUGUUUUAUUUCAUUAAAUUUUUUACAUUUUAUGCAUUUUGUUAUAUUUCUUUCAAAAUUUUUUGCAUGCUUCCUUUCUACUUUUGGUAUAAAUCAUUCAUAAAGGUUUAAAGGAGGGUUGAGUUUUGUCGGACGUCCGAAGAGAAGAGGAGAGAAUAAAAAUUUCAAGAAAAAUACGGACAUAAUUUAUGAACAGCCCAUAA